rnacentral:rRNA from 1 species
UACGGAGGGAGCUAGCGUUGUUCGGAAUUACUGGGCGUAAAGCGCACGUAGGCGGCUUUGUAAGUUAGAGGUGAAAGCCCGGGGCUCAACUCCGGAACUGCCUUUAAGACUGCAUCGCUUGAAUCCAGGAGAGGUGAGUGGAAUUCCGAGUGUAGAGGUGAAAUUCGUAGAGAUGUGGAGGAACACCGAUGGCGAAGGCAGCCUCCUGGGCCAGCACUGACGCUCAGGCACGAAAGCAUGGGGAGCAAAAGGG